rnacentral:rRNA from 1 species
GCUAACCGAUACUAAUAGCUCGAUUGGUUUACUUUGCUGUGAGAUUACAUAUGCAUAUAGUGUUAAUGUUAUAAGAGUGUAGUAUCUACUCACAAAGUUAUCAGGUUAAAUAGUUUUAUCAACUAAUAAAAAUGUUAUUGCAUAACUAAUGUUAUAUACUGUAGCCCUGCCACGAUAUCCAGCGAGAAUUAUUUUGCUGAGUAUCGUAGUAAAAGUUAAGAUAUGAUGUUGAGAAUUUUUUUGAGUCGUGCAACAAUAUUAACAGCAAACUAUAAUACAAAUCUAUCUUUUUAAAAGUA